CACGUUCGGAUUGUAGUCUGCAACCGACUACAUGAAGCUGGAAUCGCUAGUAAUCGCGGAUCAGAAUGCCGCGGUGAAUACGUUCCCGGGUCUUGUACACACCGCCCGUCACACCAUGGGAGUCGGAAAUGCCCGAAGUCUGUGACCUAACCGUAAGGGAGGAGCAGCCGAAGGCAGGUCGGAUGACUGGGGUGAAGUCGUAACAAGGUACC
rnacentral:rRNA from 1 species